rnacentral:rRNA from 1 species
UAGGGAAUCUUCGGCAAUGGACGAAAGUCUGACCGAGCAACGCCGCGUGAGUGAAGAAGGCUUUCGGAUCGUAAAACUCUGUUGUUAGAGAAGAACAAGGACGUUAGUAACUGAACGUCCCCUGACGGUAUCUAACCAGAAAGCCACGGCUAACUACGUGCCAGCAGCCGCGGUAAUACGUAGGUGGCAAGCGUUGUCCGGAUUUAUUGGGCGUAAAGCGAGCGCAGGCGGUUUCUUAAGUCUGAUGUGAAAGCCCCCGGCUCAACCGGGGAGGGUCAUUGGAAACUGGGAGACUUGAGUGCAGAAGAGGAGAGUGGAAGUCCAUGUGUAGCGGUGAAAUGCGUAGAUAUAUGGAGGAACACCAGUGGCGAAGGCGGCUCUCUGGUCUGUAACUGACGCUGAGGCUCGAAAGCGUGGGGAGCAAACAGG